rnacentral:rRNA from 1 species
AGUGAACGCUGGCGGUAGGCCUAACACAUGCAAGUCGAACGGCAGCACCGUAAGAGCUUGCUCUUACGGGUGGCGAGUGGCGGACGGGUGUGGAAUACAUCGGAAUCUACUUUUUCGUGGGGGAUAACGUAGGGAAACUUACGCUAAUACCGCAUACGCCCUACGGGUGAAAGCAGGGGAUCUUCGGACCUUGCGCGAUUGAAUGAGCCGAUGUCGGAUUAGCUAGUUGGCGGGGUAAAGGCCCACCAAGGCGACGAUCCGUAGCUGGUCUGAGAGGAUGAUCAGCCACACUGGAACUGAGACACGGUCCAGACUCCUACGGGAGGCAGCAGUGGGGAAUAUUGGACAAUGGGCGCAAGCCUGAUCCAGCCAUACCGCGUGGGUGAAGAAGGCCUUCGGGUUGUAAAGCCCUUUUGUUGGGAAAGAAAAGCAGCAGGUUAAUACCCCGCUGUUCUGACGGUACCCAAAGAAUAAGCACCGGCUAACUUCGUG